ACGCUCGACACCUACGGGACGCAGCAGUGGGGAAUAUUGCACAAUGGGGGGAACCCUGAUGCAGCGACGCCGCGUGAGUGAAGAAGUACUUCGGUAUGUAAAGCUCUAUCAGCAGGGAAGAAAAUGACGGUACCUGACUAAGAAGCCCCGGCUAACUAACGUGCCAGCAGCCGCGGUAAUCUGAGCGGGCGUGGCAAGGC
rnacentral:rRNA from 1 species